UUAAGCGACUAAGCGUACACGGUGGAUGCCCUGGCAGUCAGAGGCGAUGAAGGACGUGCUAAUCUGCGAUAAGCGUCGGUAAGGUGAUAUGAACCGUUAUAACCGGCGAUUUCCGAAUGGGGAAACCCAGUGUGAUUCGUCACACUAUCAUUAACUGAAUCCAUAGGUUAAUGAGGCGAACCGGGGGAACUGAAACAUCUAAGUACCCCGAGGAAAAGAAAUCAACCGAGAUUCCCCCAGUAGCGGCGAGCGAACGGGGAGCAGCCCAGAGCCUGAAUCAGUGUGUGUGUUAGUGGAAGCGUCUGGAAAGGCGCGCGAUACAGGGUGACAGCCCCGUACACAAAAAUGCACAUGCUGUGAGCUCGAUGAGUAGGGCGGGACACGUGGUAUCCUGUCUGAAUAUGGGGGGACCAUCCUCCAAGGCUAAAUACUCCUGACUGACCGAUAGUGAACCAGUACCGUGAGGGAAAGGCGAAAAGAACCCCGGCGAGGGGAGUGAAAAAGAACCUGAAACCGUGUACGUACAAGCAGUGGGAGCACAGAGCAAUCUGUGUGACUGCGUACCUUUUGUAUAAUGGGUCAGCGACUUAUAUUCUGUAGCAAGGUUAACCGAAUAGGGGAGCCGAAGGGAAACCGAGUCUUAACUGGGCGUUAAGUUGCAGGGUAUAGACCCGAAACCCGGUGAUCUAGCCAUGGGCAGGUUGAAGGUUGGGUAACACUAACUGGAGGACCGAACCGACUAAUGUUGAAAAAUUAGCGGAUGACUUGUGGCUGGGGGUGAAAGGCCAAUCAAACCGGGAGAUAGCUGGUUCUCCCCGAAAGCUAUUUAGGUAGCGCCUCGUGAAUUCAUCUCCGGGGGUAGAGCACUGUUUCGGCAAGGGGGUCAUCCCGACUUACCAACCCGAUGCAAACUGCGAAUACCGGAGAAUGUUAUCACGGGAGACACACGGCGGGUGCUAACGUCCGUCGUGAAGAGGGAAACAACCCAGACCGCCAGCUAAGGUCCCAAAGUCAUGGUUAAGUGGGAAACGAUGUGGGAAGGCCCAGACAGCCAGGAUGUUGGCUUAGAAGCAGCCAUCAUUUAAAGAAAGCGUAAUAGCUCACUGGUCGAGUCGGCCUGCGCGGAAGAUGUAACGGGGCUAAACCAUGCACCGAAGCUGCGGCAGCGACACUGUGUGUUGUUGGGUAGGGGAGCGUUCUGUAAGCCUGCGAAGGUGUGCUGUGAGGCAUGCUGGAGGUAUCAGAAGUGCGAAUGCUGACAUAAGUAACGAUAAAGCGGGUGAAAAGCCCGCUCGCCGGAAGACCAAGGGUUCCUGUCCAACGUUAAUCGGGGCAGGGUGAGUCGACCCCUAAGGCGAGGCCGAAAGGCGUAGUCGAUGGGAAACAGGUUAAUAUUCCUGUACUUGGUGUUACUGCGAAGGGGGGACGGAGAAGGCUAUGUUGGCCGGGCGACGGUUGUCCCGGUUUAAGCGUGUAGGCUGGUUUUCCAGGCAAAUCCGGAAAAUCAAGGCUGAGGCGUGAUGACGAGGCACUACGGUGCUGAAGCAACAAAUGCCCUGCUUCCAGGAAAAGCCUCUAAGCAUCAGGUAACAUCAAAUCGUACCCCAAACCGACACAGGUGGUCAGGUAGAGAAUACCAAGGCGCUUGAGAGAACUCGGGUGAAGGAACUAGGCAAAAUGGUGCCGUAACUUCGGGAGAAGGCACGCUGAUAUGUAGGUGAAGUCCCUCGCGGAUGGAGCUGAAAUCAGUCGAAGAUACCAGCUGGCUGCAACUGUUUAUUAAAAACACAGCACUGUGCAAACACGAAAGUGGACGUAUACGGUGUGACGCCUGCCCGGUGCCGGAAGGUUAAUUGAUGGGGUUAGCGCAAGCGAAGCUCUUGAUCGAAGCCCCGGUAAACGGCGGCCGUAACUAUAACGGUCCUAAGGUAGCGAAAUUCCUUGUCGGGUAAGUUCCGACCUGCACGAAUGGCGUAAUGAUGGCCAGGCUGUCUCCACCCGAGACUCAGUGAAAUUGAACUCGCUGUGAAGAUGCAGUGUACCCGCGGCAAGACGGAAAGACCCCGUGAACCUUUACUAUAGCUUGACACUGAACAUUGAGCCUUGAUGUGUAGGAUAGGUGGGAGGCUUUGAAGUGUGGACGCCAGUCUGCAUGGAGCCGACCUUGAAAUACCACCCUUUAAUGUUUGAUGUUCUAACGUUGACCCGUAAUCCGGGUUGCGGACAGUGUCUGGUGGGUAGUUUGACUGGGGCGGUCUCCUCCUAAAGAGUAACGGAGGAGCACGAAGGUUGGCUAAUCCUGGUCGGACAUCAGGAGGUUAGUGCAAUGGCAUAAGCCAGCUUGACUGCGAGCGUGACGGCGCGAGCAGGUGCGAAAGCAGGUCAUAGUGAUCCGGUGGUUCUGAAUGGAAGGGCCAUCGCUCAACGGAUAAAAGGUACUCCGGGGAUAACAGGCUGAUACCGCCCAAGAGUUCAUAUCGACGGCGGUGUUUGGCACCUCGAUGUCGGCUCAUCACAUCCUGGGGCUGAAGUAGGUCCCAAGGGUAUGGCUGUUCGCCAUUUAAAGUGGUACGCGAGCUGGGUUUAGAACGUCGUGAGACAGUUCGGUCCCUAUCUGCCGUGGGCGCUGGAGAACUGAGGGGGGCUGCUCCUAGUACGAGAGGACCGGAGUGGACGCAUCACUGGUGUUCGGGUUGUCAUGCCAAUGGCACUGCCCGGUAGCUAAAUGCGGAAGAGAUAAGUGCUGAAAGCAUCUAAGCACGAAACUUGCCCCGAGAUGAGUUCUCCCUGACUCCUUGAGAGUCCUGAAGGAACGUUGAAGACGACGACGUUGAUAGGCCGGGUGUGUAAGCGCAGCGAUGCGUUGAGCUAACCGGUACUAAUGAACCGUGAGGCUUAACCUU
rnacentral:rRNA from 1 species